rnacentral:ncRNA from 1 species
CGCCCAAGGAGGGGCUCGCGUCUGAUUAGCUAGUUGGUGAGGCAAUAGCUUACCAAGGCGAUGAUCAGUAGCUAGUCCGAGAGGAUGAUCAGCCACACUGGGACUGAGACACGGCCCAGACUCCUACGGGAGGCAGCAGUGGGGAAUUUUCCGCAAUGGGCGAAAGCCUGACGGAGCGCAAUGCGCCGCGUGGAGGUGGAAGGCCU